AUUCUCAUAAGGACUGUGCAACCUGAGCACGAUGACUGGGUGUUCAUGAGCAUGUGUGAGAUCUGCCACCCCUGAACCUUGUUACGAUGUCAGCACAUUACCCAUCUAACC
ensembl:snoRNA